UACAGAGACGGCAAGCGUUGUUCGGAUUCAUUGGGCGUAAAGGGUGCGCAGGCGGUCCAGCAAGUCGGAUGUGAAAUUUCCGAGCCUAACUCGGAACGGUCAUUCGAAACUGCUGGACUCGAGGACUGGAGAGGAGGCUGGAAUUGUCGGUGUAGCGGUGAAAUGCGUAGAUAUCGACAAGAACACCGGUGGCGAAGGCGGGUCUCUGGACAGUUCCUGACGCUCAGGCACGAAAGCCAGGGGAG
rnacentral:rRNA from 1 species